rnacentral:rRNA from 1 species
UCCGUAGGCGGGCAAUUAAGUCAGAGGUGAAAUCCCACAGCUCAACUGUGGAACUGCCUUUGAUACUGGUUGUCUUGAGUUACAGUGAAGUAGAUAGAAUAUGUAGUGUAGCGGUGAAAUGCAUAGAUAUUACAUAGAAUACCGAUUGCGAAGGCAGUCUACUAACUAUAUACUGACGCUGAUGGACGAAAGCGUGGGGAGCGAACAGGAUUAGAUACCCUGGUAGUCC